rnacentral:rRNA from 1 species
AUACGUAGGGUGCAAGCGUUAAUCGGAAUUACUGGGCGUAAAGGGUGCGCAGGCGGCUCGGAAAGAAAGAUGUGAAAUCCCAGGGCUCAACCUUGGAACUGCAUUUUUAACUACCGGGCUAGAGUGUGUCAGAGGGAGGUGGAAUUCCGCGUGUAGCAGUGAAAUGCGUAGAUAUGCGGAGGAACACCGAUGGCGAAGGCAGCCUCCUGGGAUAACACUGACGCUCAGGCACGAAAGCGUGGGGAGCAAACAGGAUUAGAUACCCUGGUAGUCCACGCCCUAAACGAUGUCAACUAGCUGUUGGGUUCUUCGGAGCUUAGUAGCGCAGCUAACGCGUGAAGUUGACCGCCUGGGGAGUACGGUCGCAAGAUUAAA